rnacentral:rRNA from 1 species
UGGGAUGACGUCAAGUCCUCAUGGCCCUUAUAGGUGGGCUACACACGUCAUACAAUGGCUGGUACAAAGGGUUGCCAACCCGCGAGGGAGCCAAUCCCAUAAAGCCAGUCGUAGUCCGGAUCGUAGUCUGCAACUCGACUACGUGAAGUCGGAAUCGCUAGUAAUCGUGGAUCAGAAUGUCACGGUGAAUACGUUCCCGGUCUU